rnacentral:rRNA from 1 species
AUGUCUAGUAUAAGCAUCUAUACGGUGAAACUGCGAAUGGCUCAUUAAAUCAGUUAUCGUUUAUUUGAUAGUACCUUACUACUUGGAUAACCGUGGUAAUUCUAGAGCUAAUACAUGCUAAAAACCCCGACUUCGGAAGGGGUGUAUUUAUUAGAUAAAAAACCAAUGCCCUUCGGGGCUCCUUGGUGAUUCAUAAUAACUUAACGAAUCGCAUGGCCUUGUGCCGGCGAUGGUUCAUUCAAAUUUCUGCCCUAUCAACUUUCAAUCGUAUGGUCUUGGCUUACGAUGGUUUCAACGGGUAACGGGGAAUUAGGGUUCUAUUCCGGAGAGGGAGCCUGAGAAACGGCUACCACAUCCAAGGAAGGCAGCAGGCGCGCAAAUUACCCAAUCCCGACACGGGGAGGUAGUGACAAUAAAUACUGAUACAGGGCUCUUUUGGGUCUUGUAAUUGGAAUGAGUACAAUUUAAAUCCCUUAACGAGGAACAAUUGGAGGGCAAGUCUGGUGCCAGCAGCCGCGGUAAUUCCAGCUCCAAUAGCGUAUAUUAAAGUUGUUGCAGUUAAAAAGCUCGUAGUUGAACCUUGGGCCUGGUUGGUCGGUCCGCCUCACCGCGUGCACUGAUCCGACCGGGCCUUUCCUUCUGGGGAGCCGCAUGCCCUUCACUGGGUGUGUCGGGGAACCAGGACUUUUACUUUGAAAAAAUUAGAGUGUUCAAAGCAGGCCUAUGCUCGAAUACAUUAGCAUGGAAUAAUAGAAUAGGACGUGUGGUUCUAUUUUGUUGGUUUCUAGGACCGCCGUAAUGAUUAAUAGGGAUAGUCGGGGGCAUCAGUAUUCAAUUGUCAGAGGUGAAAUUCUUGGAUUUAUUGAAGACUAACUACUGCGAAAGCAUUUGCCAAGGAUGUUUUCAUUAAUCAGUGAACGAAAGUUAGGGGAUCGAAGACGAUCAGAUACCGUCGUAGGUCUUAACCAUAAACUAUGCCGACUAGGGAUCGGGCGAUGU